rnacentral:rRNA from 1 species
UACGAAGGGGGCUAGCGUUGCUCGGAAUCACUGGGCGUAAAGCGCACGUAGGCGGAUUGUUAAGUCAGGGGUGAAAUCCUGGAGCUCAACUCCAGAACUGCCUUUGAUACUGGCGAUCUCGAGUCCGGGAGAGGUGAGUGGAACUGCGAGUGUAGAGGGUGAAAAUUCGUAGAUAUUCGCAAGAACACCAGUGGCGAAGGCGGCUCACUGGCCCCGGUACUGACGCUGAGGUGCGAAAGCGUGGGGAGCAACAGGGAUAAGAUACCCCAGAGUCCAGUACCAACA